GCGCCCGUAGCUCAGCUGGAUAGAGCAACAGCCUUCUAAGCUGUGGGUCGUAGGUUCAAAUCCUACUGGGCGCA
rnacentral:tRNA from 2 species